rnacentral:sRNA from 1 species
UUAACAACUCUGGAGGCUAGAUUCCUCUGUUUAUCUAUAGAACAGGUACAGCACAGGAAGCAGUAGUUUGAAUGUCUACAAACUUGCCAAUUAUUGUGUCUCAAUCACCUGUGGAGAUAUGUAAUACAUUUUUAAUAUCCAUGUAAUCCUUCAUGCGGUGUUGAG